rnacentral:rRNA from 1 species
GUGGUGAGCCAAUCGUUCUGAAAACCGACACAGGUAGGCAAGCUGAGAAGGCUAAGGGGAGCGGGAUAACUCCUGUUAAGGAACUAGGCAAAUUAGCCCCGUAACUUAGGGAGAAGGGGUACUCUGGUUGGUUAAUAGCUGACUGGAGUCGCAGUGACAAGGCAGCGGCGACUGUUUACCAAAAACACAGGGCUCUGCGAAUUCGAUAAGAAGACGUAUAGGGUCUGACGCCUGCCCAGUGCUGGAAGGUUAAGGGGAAAGGUUAGCGCAAGCGAAGCUUUGAACCGAAGCCCCAGUAAACGGCGGCCGUAACGAUAACGGUCCUAAGGUAGCGAAAUUCCUUGUCGGGUAAGUUCCGACCUGCACGAAUGGCGUAACGAUCGCUGCACUGUCUCAACAGGAGACCCGGUGAAAUUUCAGUCUGGGUGAAGAUGCCCAGAACUCGCAACUAGACGGAAAGACCCCAUGGAGCUUUACUGUAGCUUGGUAUUGUGCUUUGUUGUAUGGUGUACAGGAUAGGUAGGAGGCAGAGAACCCGGUUCGCCAGGAUCGGGGGAGCCAACGGUGGGAUACUACCCUCUAUACAACGGAGUACUAACUUGUGGAUGUGGAGAGCAUCGCAAGGACAGUGCUAGGUGGGCAGUUUGACUGGGGCGGUCGCCUCCCAAAGAGUAACGGAGGCGCGCUAAGGUUGGCUCAGGUUGGUUGGAAAUCAACCAUAGAGUGUAAGGGCAAAAGCCAGCUUGACUGUGAGACUGACAGGUCGAACAGGAGGGAAACCUGGCCCUAGUGACCCUGCGGCCCUGAGUGGAAAGGCCGUUGAUCAGCGGAUAAAAGCUACCCUGGGGAUAACAGGCUUAUACUGCCCGAGAGUUCACAUCGACGGCAGUGUUUGGCACCUCGAUGUCGGCUCAUCGCAUCCUGGGGCUGGAGCAGGUCCCAAGGGUUAGGCUGUUCGCCUAUUAAAGCGGUACGUGAGCUGGGUUCAGAACGUCGUGAGACAGUUCGGUCCCUAUCUGUUGCGAGCGUAGGAGACUUGAGAAGGGUAGCCCCUAGUACGAGAGGACCGGGGUUAGUGGACCUCUGGUGAAUCAGUUGUCGUGCAAGCGGCAGUAGCUGAGUAGCUAAGUUCAUGAGUGAUAACCGCUGACAGCAUCUAAGCGGGAAGCACGCUUCAAGACUAGGUCUCUCAGGAUCGUUCGAGAAGAGGACGUAGAUAGGCUGGAGAUGUAAGCACCGUGAGGUGUUGAGUCGACCAGUACUAAUCAUCCGAUUCCUUUAUC